rnacentral:tRNA from 1 species
GGAGGAGUGUCCGAGUGGUUUAAGGAGGCGGUCUUGAAAACCGUUGUAUCGCAAGGUACCGGGGGUUCGAAUCCCUCCUCCUCCG